AAUAGAUACCCAGGUAGUCCACACCCUAAACGAUGCACACUUGGUGUUGGCCCGUUGGGGUCAGCGCCGGAGCUAACGCGUUAAGUGUGCCGCCUGGGAAGUACGGCCGCAAGCUUAAAACUCAAAGGAAUUGACGGGGACCCGCACAAGCGGUGGAGCGUGUGGUUUAAUUCGAUGGUAAACGAAGAACCUUACCAAGGUUUGACAUCCCGGUAGCCGUUCUCCGAAAGGAGAAUUUCAUUUAGUUGGACCGGUGACAGGUGAUGCAUGGCCGUCGUCAGCUCGUGUCGUGAGAUGUUGGGUUAAGUCCCGCAACGAGCGCAACCCUUAUGAUUUAGUUGGAUUUUUCUAAACAGACUGCCCUGGUAACAGGGAGGAAGGAGGGGAUGAUGUCAGGUCAGUAUUUCCCUUACACCUUGGGCGACACACGCGCUACAAUGGCCGGUACAAUGGGCAGCUAAGCCGCGAGGUGGAGCAAAUCCCAUCAAAGCCGGUCCCAGUUCGGAUUGCAGGCUGAAACCCGCCUGCAUGAAGCCGGAAUCGCUAGUAACCAGCG
rnacentral:rRNA from 1 species